CCAAGGCGAUGAUGCAUAGCCGAGUUGAGAGACUGAUCGGCCACAAUGGAACUGAGACACGGUCCAUACUCCUACGGGAGGCAGCAGUAGGGAAUCUUCCACAAUGGGCGCAAGCCUGAUGGAGCAACACCGCGUGAGUGAAGAAGGGUUUCGGCUCGUAAAGCUCUGUUGUUGGAGAAGAACGUGCGUGAGAGUAACUGUUCACGCAGUGACGGUAUCCAACCAGAAAGUCACGGCUAACUACGUGCCAGCAGCCGCGGUAAUACGUAGGUGGCAAGCGUUAUCCGGAUUUAUUGGGCGUAAAGCGAGCGCAGGCGGUUGCUUAGGUCUGAUGUGAAAGCCUUCGGCUUAACCGAAGAAGUGCAUCGGAAACCGGGCGACUUGAGUGCAGAAGAGGACAGUGGAACUCCAUGUGUAGCGGUGGAAUGCGUAGAUAUAUGGAAGAACACCAGUGGCGAAGGCGGCUGUCUGGUCUGCAACUGACGCUGAGGCUCGAAAGCAUGGGUAGCGAACAGGAUUAGAUACCCUGGUAGUCCAUGCCGUAAACGAUGAGUGCUAGGUGUUGGAGGGUUUCCGCCCUUCAGUGCCGGAGCUAACGCA
rnacentral:rRNA from 1 species